rnacentral:rRNA from 1 species
GAUGAUAGCUUGCUAUCAGGCGUCSMSCGGCGGACGGGUGAGUAAUACUUAGGAAUCUACCUAGUAGUGGGGGAUAGCACGGGGAAACUCGUAUUAAUACCGCAUACGACCUACGGGAGAAAGGGGGCAGUUUACUGCUCUCGCUAUUAGAUGAGCCUAAGUCGGAUUAGCUAGAUGGUGGGGUAAAGGCCUACCAUGGCGACGAUCUGUAGCUGGUCUGAGAGGAUGAUCAGCCACACCGGGACUGAGACACGGCCCGGACUCCUACGGGAGGCAGCAGUGGGGAAUAUUGGACAAUGGGGGAAACCCUGAUCCAGCCAUGCCGCGUGUGUGAAGAAGGCCUUUUGGUUGUAAAGCACUUUAAGCAGUGAAGAAGACUCCGUGGUUAAUACCCACGGACGAUGACAUUAGCUGCAGAAUAAGCACCGGCUAACUCUGUGCCAGCAGCCGCGGUAAUACAGAGGGUGCAAGCGUUAAUCGGAAUUACUGGGCGUAAAGGGAGCGUAGGUGGCUCUAUAAGUCAGAUGUGAAAUCCCCGGGCUUUAACCUGGGAACUGCAUCUGAAACUGUAGAGCUAGAGUAUGUGAGAGGAAGGUAGAAUUCCAGGUGUAGCGGUGAAAUGCGUAGAGAWYCUGGAGGAAUACCGRAUGGCGRAARGCMGSCCUUUYUGGG